GGUUGGGCGAAUUCAAUAUUCGCUUUCAAGAGUUAAAACUUCUGGGGUGGGAAGCU
rnacentral:ncRNA from 12 species